UCCCCGGUGGCCUAGUGGUUAAGGAUUCAGCAUUGUCACUGCUGUGGCCCAGGUUCAGUCCCUGGCCUGAAAA
rnacentral:tRNA from 1 species